CAGUAAGGAAAGUAGCUAUUGGCUGUCACAAAAGUCGCCAGAAAUCGCUAAAUGAUGUCAUUGCCUAAUUUGCAUAACUUGCCAUGUGCAUAUAAUUGUGAUGGACGCUGUAGGAGAGAGGAAUAACGUCGUGGGAGAGACAAAAAGACCUGAGCCCUAGGACCAUGCCUCAGGACUACCUUGCCUGAUGAGUCCUUGCUGUCCCCAGUCCACCUGGUCGUGCUGCUGCUCCAGUUUCAACUAUUCUGCCUGCAGCUAUGGAACCCUGACCUGUUCCACCAUAAUUUGCAAAUAAAUUGUGACAAUGUGA